GAUGAACGCUGACAGAAUGCUUAACACAUGCAAGUCGAUUCGAUUUACCUUCGGGUAUUGAGGAUGGCGGACGGGUGAGUAACGCGUAAGGAACUUGCCUCUUGGUCUGGGACAACUGUUGGAAACGACAGCUAAUACCGGAUAUUAUGAGAUUCUCGCAUGGGAAACUUAUGAAAGCUAUAUGCGCCAAGAGAGAGCCUUGCGUUCCAUUAGCUAGUUGGUGGGGUAACGGCCCACCAAGGCGACGAUGGAUAGCCGGCCUGAGAGGGUGAACGGCCACAAGGGGACUGAGACACGGCCCUUACUCCUACGGGAGGCAGCAGUGGGGAAUAUUGGACAAUGGGCCACAAGCCUGAUCCAGCAAUUCUGUGUGCACGAUGAAGGUCUUCGGAUUGUAAAGUGCUUUCAGUUGGGAAGAAGAAAGUGACGGUACCAACAGAAGAAGCGACGGCUAAAUACGUGCCAGCAGCCGCGGUAAUACGUAUGUCGCAAGCGUUAUCCGGAUUUAUUGGGCGUAAAGCGCGUCUAGGCGGAAAAAUAANUCUGAUGUUAAAAUGCGGGGCUCAACUCCGUAUUGCGUUGGAAACUGUUUUUCUAGAGUACUGGAGAGGUGGGCGGAACUACAAGUGUAGAGGUGAAAUUCNUA
rnacentral:rRNA from 1 species